rnacentral:rRNA from 1 species
CCUACGUGUGGCAGCAGUGAGGAAUAUUGGUCAAUGGGCGCGAGCCUGAACCAGCCAAGUAGCGUGAAGGAUGACUGCCCUACGGGUUGUAAACUUCUUUUAUAAAGGAAUAAAGUGAGGCACGUGUGCCUUUUUGUAUGUACUUUAUGAAUAAGGAUCGGCUAACUCCGUGCCAGCAGCCGCGGUAAUACGGAGGAUCCGAGCGUUAUCCGGAUUUAUUGGGUUGAAAGGGAGCGUAGAUGGGUUGUUAAGUCAGUUGUGAAAGUUUGCGGAUCAACCGUAAAAUUGCAAUUGAUACUGGCAGUCUUGAGUACAGUUGAGGUAGGCGGAAUUCGUGGUGUAGCGGUGAAAUGCUUAGAUAUCACGAAGAACUCCGAUUGCGAAGGCAGCUUACUAAACUGCCACUGACAUUGAUGUUCGAAAGUGUGGGUAUCAAACAGGAUUAGAUACCCCAGUAGUC